UACGGAGGGUGCAAGCGUUAUCCGGAUUCACUGGGUUUAAAGGGUGCGUAGGUGGGCUGGUAAGUCCGUGGUGAAAUCUCCAGGCUUAACUUGGAAACUGCCAUUGAUACUAUCAAUCUUGAAUACCGUGGAGGUCAGCGGAAUAUGUCAUGUAGCGGUGAAAUGCUUAGAUAUGACAUAGAACACCAAUUGCGAAGGCAGCUGGCUACACGAAUAUUGACACUGAGGCACGAAAGCGUGGGGAUCAAACAGG
rnacentral:rRNA from 1 species